GGUUUGAUCAUGGCUCAGAUUGAACGCUGGCGGAUGCUUUACACAUGCAAGUCGAACGAAAACGGACUGGUCUGGUGGCGAGUGGCGAACGGUGAGUAAUGUAUCGGAACGUGCCUAGUAGCGGGGAUAACUACGCGAAAGCGUAGCUACUACCGCAUACGCCCUUCGGGGAAAGCGGGGACCUUCGGGCCUCGCACUAAUAGAGCGGCCGAUAUCGGAUUAGCCAGUUGGUGGGGGUAACGGCUCACCAAGGCGACGAUCCGUAGCUGGUUUGAGAGGACGACCAGCUACACUGGGACUGAGACACGGCCUGACUCCUACGGGAGGCAGCAGUGGGGAAUUCUGACAAAUGGGGAAACCCUGAUCCAGCCAUCUCGCGUGCGAUGAAGGUUUCGGGUUGUAAAACACUUUUGGCAGGAAGAACGCACGGGAUAAUACCCCGUGCAACUGACGGUACCUGCAGAAUAAGCACCGGCUAACUACGCUCAGCAGCCGCGGUAAGAUGUAGGGAAAGCGUUAAUCGGAAUUACUGGGCGUAAAGCGUGCGCAGGUUCGAGCAGUGAUGUGAGUCCCAGAGGCUUAACUUUGAAACUGCAUUUUUAACUACUGAGCUAGAGUGUGUCAGAGGGAGAGACCCGCGUGUAGCAGUGAAAUGCGUAGAUAUGCGAGGGAACACUGAUGGCGAAGGUGUUUCCUGGGAUAACACUGACGCUCAUGCACGAAAGCGUGGGGAGCAAACAGGAUUAGAUACCCUGGUAGUCCACGCCUCAAACGAUGUCAACUAGCUGUCUUCGGGCCUUGGUAGCGCAGCUAACGCGUGAAGUUGACCGCCUGGGGAGUACGGUCGCAAAGAUUAAAACUCAAAGAAAUUGACGGGGACCUCCGCACAAGCGGUGGAUGAUGAUGACCUGAUGCAACGCGAAAAACCUUACCUACCCUUGACAUGUCUGGAACUCUGAAGAGAUUUGGGAUAUUCAAAAAAGAGAACUGGAACAGGUGCUGGCAUGGUUGUCAGCCCGUCGGUAUGCUGGGUUAAGUCCUGCAACGAAGGCAACCUCGGUUGCUGGUUGCUGCUUGCAAGGGCACUCAUCGAGACUGCCGGUGACAAACCGGAGGAAGGUGGGGAUGACGUCAAGUCCUCAUGGCCCUUAUGGGUAGGGCUUCACACGUCAUACAAUGGUCGGGACAGAGGGUCGCCAACCCGCGAGGGGGAGCCAAUCCCAGAAACCCGAUCGUAGUCCGGAUCGCAGUCUGCAACUCGACUGCGCAGGAAGUCGAAUCACAGUAAUCGCGGAUCAGCAUGUCGCGGUGAAUACGUUCCCGGGUCUUGUGCCACCUCCGCCCGGGUCACACUAUGUGGGAGUGGGUUUUACCAGAAGUAGUUAGCCGACCGGUAAGGAGGGCGAUUACCACGGUAGGAUUCAUGACUGGGGUGAAGUCAAAAAUAUGGGCA
rnacentral:rRNA from 1 species